UUGGUACUCCCUCCGUCUCAAAAUUCUUGUCUUAGAUUUGUCUAGAUACGGAUGUAUCUAAUACUAAAAUGUGACUUGAUACAUCCGUAUUUAGACAAAUCUAAGACAAGAAUUUUGGGACGGAGGGAGUACCAU
rnacentral:pre_miRNA from 1 species